rnacentral:rRNA from 1 species
CACCGCCCGUCACACCAUGGGAGUCUGUUGCUCCAGAAGUGGCUGUGCCAACCCGCAAGGGAGGUAAGUCCCCAAGGAGUGCCAGGUGACUGGGGUG